GUUUAUGUUCCUUUCUAUUUUCCUCAUUAGGAUUUAACUUCCACUUUUUAAGAGGAUGGCUUUUUACAUCUCACUGCUUCUUAUACAUAGUUAAGACAA